rnacentral:rRNA from 1 species
AUUAAGAGCUUGCUCUUAUGAAGUUAGCGGCGGACGGGUGAGUAACACGUGGGUAACCUGCCCAUAAGACUGGGAUAACUCCGGGAAACCGGGGCUAAUACCGGAUAACAUUUUGAACCGCAUGGUUCGAAAUUGAAAGGCGGCUUCGGCUGUCACUUAUGGAUGGACCCGCGUCGCAUUAGCUAGUUGGUGAGGUAACGGCUCACCAAGGCAACGAUGCGUAGCCGACCUGAGAGGGUGAUCGGCCACACUGGGACUGAGACACGGCCCAGACUCCUACGGGAGGCAGCAGUGGG